rnacentral:rRNA from 1 species
AUUGAACGCUGGCGGCAGGCCUAACACAUGCAAGUCGAGCGGCAACACAGGGAGCUUGCUCCCGGGUGACGAGCGGCGGACGGGUGAGUAAUGUCUGGGAAACUGCCUGAUGGAGGGGGAUAACUACUGGAAACGGUAGCUAAUACCGCAUAACGUCGCAAGACCAAAGAGGGGGACCUUCGGGCCUCUUGCCAUCAGAUGUGCCCAGAUGGGAUUAGCUAGUAGGUGGGGUAAUGGCUCACCUAGGCGACGAUCCCUAGCUGGUCUGAGAGGAGGACCAGCCACACUGGAACUGAGACACGGUCCAGACUCCUACGGGAGGCAGCAGUGGGGAAUAUUGCACAAUGGGCGCAAGCCUGAUGCAGCCAUGCCGCGUGUAUGAAGAAGGCCUUCGGGUUGUAAAGUACUUUCAGCGGGGAGGAAGGUGCUGAGGUUAAUAACCUCAGCAAUUGACGUUACCCGCAGAAGAAGCACCGGCUAACUCCGUGCCAGCCGCCGCCGUAAGAC